AUCAAAAGCUUGCCUGGGCAGGUGGAGGCAGGGACUACAAAAUACCUGUGCAGUCACGAUGUCACCGUCUCUCCUUCCCCGUCCAGGUCUCUGCUGGCUUCUACAGCCACCACAAGGGCUAAGUGGUUGAAUGAGUCCCCCUUGGUGUCUCCUUAUAAACACGAGGACUUAUUUGUGAUUCUGGGUCUAAUCCCAGGUUAAGAAACAAAAGCUCGUGACCCAACCCAUUCCUUUCCUUCUCUCCUUCUCUUUCAGGCAUCCAAAUGGAUUUAGUAUUCUGCCCUGUGCCUUGCCCAGGGGAGGGAGAAGUUUCUAUUAAUUACGGAUUCCUGUUUGCUGUCUGGUGCUUUACAGUACUUCAUUUGUGUCUGUGUGUGGUUGUUUUUUUUUUUUUUUAAACCAAAACCACAUUUGUUUGGUUGUCAUUGUUGAGUAUAUAUUUAUUCUAUCUGACAAACAUGAGUAUAUAUAUGUAUAAAACCAGACUUACAUAUGUCAAGGCAUGUAUACUAGAUAUUUUAAAGAGUUAUUUAUCAAGGGAAAAAGAUGUGUGUUAUAAAGUAAACAGAGUCUAUAUUUUAUAUAUAAUGUAGAUAGCAAAAAAAUAGCUUAUAAAUUAUAGAAGGUUUUGGUUUUCUUUUUAUUAUUAAAGCAAAAGCAAAAACAACAGGACAAUAAAUGGAACUGUUCUUCGUGUUUCAAAGGCCAAACUACUGCGGGAGUUGGGAGGUGGCCUUCCCUGCCGGGCUCUGCAGCACUUCUGUGUCUGCUGUUCCAGGCUCCAGAGCCCACGCCCAUAUCAUCUCUGCGCGGUCAGCAUCACUCAGCCAGCUCACGUGGGCCGCUCCAAACGCGGCUUCCAGCUGUCCUCCACAGUCUGCACUGGUGGGAUAAAAGAAUGAAAGUGGCAAAUAAAGAUUUAAAAGAAGA